rnacentral:lncRNA from 1 species
CUGACAGUGAAUUACCCUGGGUGCAAAUUAAAUACAAUAGAAUUGCUAAUCAGGCUAUUAGAAUACGCUGACAGGAGGAAAUCUACAAGUUGUAGAUUUCAGCCCACCCAGACCUGGGUGGGCUCUCCCUUUGCCUUUGGGGCAGAAUUCACUUGACUUCAAAUGGACCAGUACCAGACCCGUUGGAAUGCUGGAAAUGGACACCUGCAGUCUGCCGGAGGGACUGAGCAAGGCCUGAGAUCCUACCCUGGUUCAGCUGGUUCUUCCGCUGGCAGAAUCUGGCCCCCAGAGUACUUGUGUCCCCAGGGAUUGCUGUCUAACGUUCCAUACACUCUUCUCAGGCAAGAAGUGUUGCGAUUCUGUUCUCAACCUCCAGGCCCACAAGGAAGGCACCAAGUAUCUGGCAUAAUGAACAAUGUUUUAGGAUUUCUAAAUUUUAGAGGGAAGCAAGCUCUCCACCCAGUGUGGUGCUCGAACUCAUAACCCUGAG